rnacentral:snRNA from 7 species
CCACACACCUGGCAGGGGGAAAUACCACGACAGUGAAGGUGCUUUUCCCAGGGUGCAACUCAUCCGUUGCAUCCGUGCUGACUCCUGCACCUUCUCCAAAUGUGGGAAACUUAACUGCAUAUUUGUACCAGUGGGGAACUGUGCCAUGCUUCUCUCUG